rnacentral:rRNA from 1 species
GAUGAACGCUGGCGGCGUGCCUAAUACAUGCAAGUCGAACGCUGAAGGAAGGAGCUUGCUCUUUCCGGAUGAGUUGCGAACGGGUGAGUAACGCGUAGGUAACCUGCCUGGUAGCGGGGGAUAACUAUUGGAAACGAUAGCUAAUACCGCAUAACAGUAGAUGUUGCAUGAUAUCUACUUAAAAGGUGCAAUUGCACCACUACCAGAUGGACCUGCGUUGUAUUAGCUAGUUGGUGAGGUAACGGCUCACCAAGGCGACGAUACAUAGCCGACCUGAGAGGGGGAUCGGCCACACUGGGACUGAGACACGGCCCAGACUCCUACGGGAGGCAGCAGUAGGGAAUCUUCGGCAAUGGACGGAAGUCUGGCCGAGCAACGCCGCGGGAGUGAAGAAGGGUUUCGGAUCGUAAAGCUCUGUUGUAAGAGAAGAACGAGUGUGAGAGUGGAAAGUUCACACUGUGACGGUAGCUGACCAGAAAGUGACGGCUAACUACGUG